GGAUGGGGUACCUGAAAAGCUGUGUGCCAGUAAAGAUGAAGAGCAAAUAAGAUUAUUAAUUCUAAUUUGCCAUUAAGAUACUGCAUAUUGAUAGGAAAUAGAUGAUACCAAUACCUCAACUGUUACAUUUGACAUUAAAAGCAACGUGGCAAAAUGUGAACUUCUCACAAUUUAUCUCCAUUAUUCUUCUAAAUCUGGGCAUCUAGCAUAUCAAAAUGACUACUGCUAGGUAACAGAACAUGUAUCGUUAGUGGAAUUUAUCUUCAAAGUAAUGUCAGAUAC